rnacentral:rRNA from 1 species
CCUACGGGCGGCAGCAGUGAGGAAUAUUGGUCAAUGGACGAGAGCCUGAACCAGCCAAGUAGCGUGAAGGAUGACUGCCCUAUGGGUUGUAAACUUCUUUUAUAUGGGAAUAAAACAGGGUAUGCAUACCGUCUUGUAUGUACCAUAUGAAUAAGGAUCGGCUAACUCCGUGCCAGCAGCCGCGGUAAUACGGAGGAUCCGAGCGUUAUCCGGAUUUAUUGGGUUUAAAGGGAGCGUAGGUGGAUUGUUAAGUCAGUUGUGAAAGUUUGCGGCUCAACCGGAAAAUUGCAGUUGAAACUGGCAGUCUUGAGUACAGUAGAGGUGCGCGGAACUCGUGGUGUAGCGGUGAAAUGCUGAGAUAUCAAGAAGAACUGCUAUUGCGAAGGCAGCUCACUGGACUGCAACUGACACUGAUGCUCGAAAGUGUGGGUAAAAAAGAGGAAGAGAUCCCUGUAGUC